UACGUAGGGACCAAGCGUUGUUCGGAUUUACUGGGCGUAAAGGGCGUGUAGGUGGUUUAGUAAGUCUGGCGUGAAAUUUUUCGGCUUAACCGGGAAAGGUCGUCGGAUACUGCUGAGCUAGAGGACGGUAGAGGCGUGUGGAAUUCCGGGUGUAGUGGUGAAAUGCGUAGAGAUCCGGAGGAACACCAGUGGCGAAGGCGACACGCUGGGCCGUACCUGACACUGAUGCGCGACAGCAUGGGGAGCAAACAGG
rnacentral:rRNA from 1 species